GCCGCCUUGGCUCAGUUGGUAGAGCGACUGAUUCGUAAUCAGUAGAUCGUCAGUUCAAAUCUGACAGGCGGCUCCA
rnacentral:tRNA from 1 species